rnacentral:rRNA from 1 species
GAUGAACGCUGGCGGCGUGCCUAAUACAUGCAAGUCGAGCGAACGGACGAGAAGCUUGCUUCUCUGAUGUUAGCGGCGGACGGGUGAGUAACACGUGGAUAACCUACCUAUAAGACUGGGAUAACUUCGGGAAACCGGAGCUAAUACCGGAUAAUAUUUUGAACCGCAUGGUUCAAAGGUGAAAGACGGUCUUGCUGUCACUUAUAGAUGGAUCCGCGCUGCAUUAGCUAGUUGGUAAGGUAACGGCUUACCAAGGCAACGAUGCAUAGCCGACCUGAGAGGGUGAUCGGCCGCACUGGAACUGAGACACGGUCCAGACUCCUACGGGAGGCAGCAGUAGGGAAUCUUCCGCAAUGGGCGAAAGCCUGACGGAGCAACGCCGCGUGAGUGAUGAAGGUCUUCGGAUCGUAAAACUCUGUUAUUAGGGAAGAACAUAUGUGUAAGUAACUGUGCACAUCUUGACGGUACCUAAUCAGAAAGCCACGGCUAACUACGUG